rnacentral:rRNA from 1 species
AGUAGGGAAUCUUCCACAAUGGGCGCAAGCCUGAUGGAGCAACGCCGCGUGAGUGAAGAAGGUCUUCGGAUCGUAAAACUCUGUUGUUAGAGAAGAACAUGCGAGAGAGUAACUGUUCUUGUAUUGACGGUAUCUAACCAGAAAGCCACGGCUAACUACGUGCCAGCAGCCGCGGUAAUACGUAGGUGGCAAGCGUUGUCCGGAUUUAUUGGGCGUAAAGGGAACGCAGGCG